UACGUAGGGUGCAAGCGUUAAUCGGAAUUACUGGGCGUAAAGCGUGCGCAGGCGGUUUUGUAAGUCUGUCGUGAAAUCCCCGGGCUCAACCUGGGAAUUGCGAUGGAGACUGCAAGGCUAGAAUCUGGCAGAGGGGGGUAGAAUUCCACGUGUAGCAGUGAAAUGCGUAGAGAUGUGGAGGAACACCGAUGGCGAAGGCAGCCCCCUGGGUCAAGAUUGACGCUCAUGCACGAAAGGCGUGGGGAGCAAACAGGAUUAACGAAACCC
rnacentral:rRNA from 1 species